AGCUUUGCGCAGUGGCAGUAUCGUAGCCAAUGGGGUUUAUCCGAAGCGCGAUUAUUGCUAAUUGAAAAUGUCUCCUCUAUUGGUGAAUGGACAGUUUAGCUAGAAAUAGGGUUCUAGAUAGAAAACAUUUAUCAGAAUUUUGAGUU
rnacentral:snRNA from 1 species